CUACGGGGGGCUGCAGUGAGGAAUAUUGCACAAUGGAGGAAACUCUGAUGCAGCAACGCCGCGUGGAGGAUGACGCAUUUCGGUGUGUAAACUCCUUUUAUGAGUCAAGAAAAUGACGGUAGCAUAUGAAUAAGCACCGGCUAACUCCGUGCCAGCAGCCGCGGUAAUACGGAGGGUGCAAGCGUUACUCGGAAUCACUGGGCGUAAAGGACGCGUAGGCGGGUUGGAAAGUCAGGUGUGAAAUCCUACAGCUUAACUGUAGAACUGCACUUGAAACUUCUAAUCUAGAGUAUGGGAGGGGGAGAUGGAAUUAGUGGUGUAGAGGUAAAAUCCGUAGAUAUCACUAGGAAUACCUAAAGCGAAGGCGAUCUCCUGGAACAUUGCUGACGCUAAGGCGUGAAAGCGUGGGGAGCAAACAGGAUUAGAUACCCCGGUAGUC
rnacentral:rRNA from 1 species